CAGUCAGCCAGGAAGGAGGAGGCAGCCAGAGUGGCCACCACUGGUCUCUGCAGCAGAAGACCCCUUGCUGCCCUGCCCAGCCCAGCCCAGCAUUGGCCAGAUCAUGUCUCAAAUGCUGCAGAUCAAGUAAGAAAGAUGCUAGAGCCCUCCCAUCUACUUCAGAGCACGUAUCUGAAGUUGGGCACAGUGUGUCACAGUGUGAGAAAUGAGAAGAAAUGGUCAGCCUGGGGUGUUCUGUCUUUGUGUGGAGAUUUACACCUUAAAGGACUCCAUGUUCAAGGAAAGGAUUGCUGGAGUUCCCUGAGCACAGGGUACAAACUGUCUGAGAACAGCUUGCCUGCAUCUUAGAGCUACUGAGGUCAGGUAACGAAUCUGCUGAUGCCCAGAAGAGAGCCAAACUGAAGUGCAUGUGUAUGAGUUUUAUUAGUUUAUUAAUAAACUAUUCAUGUAUCAGUAUUAAAUUCUAAUAUUAAUACUAAUAGUAUUAUUAAUACUAUUGAAUGCCACUUAUAGCAUUACUAAUUUGUAUUUGUAAUAGUAUUAUUAAUACUAUUAAUAAAUAGUAUUUAUUUAUUAGCCCAUGAAUUCUGGGUACCAAAGGGAAAUCCAGGGAUAAUCGGUGGGUGGCAGGAGGACCAUUUGGCUUGGACUUCAAGCUCAAAGAGGCUUCAGAUUUAGAUAUUUGUUAA